CCUACGGGAGUCCGCAGUGGGGAAUAUUUGGCAAUGGGCGCAAGCCUGACCCAGCAACGCCGCGUGAAGGAAGAAGGCUUUCGGGUUGUAAACUUCUUUUAUCAGGGACGAAGCAAGUGACGGUACCUGAUGACUAAGCCACGGCUAACUACGUGCCAGCAGCCGCGGGAAUACGUAGGUGGCAAGCGUUAUACGGAUUGAAUGGGUUUAAAGGACGUGUAGGCGGGAGUGCAAGUCAGAUGUGAAAACUAUGGGCUCAACCCAUAGCCUGCAGUUGAAACUGUACUUCUUGAGUGCUGGAGAGGCAAUCGGAAUUCCGUGUGUAGCGGUGAAAUGCGUAGAUAUACGGAGGAACACCAGUGGCGAAGGCGGAUUGCUGGACAGUAACUGACGCUGAGGCGCGAAAGCGUGGGGAGCAAACAGGAGUAGAUACCCCUGUAGUC
rnacentral:rRNA from 1 species